rnacentral:rRNA from 1 species
GACGAACGCUGGCGGCGUGCUUAACACAUGCAAGUCGAACGCUGAAGGCUCAGCUUGCUGGGCUGGAUGAGUGGCGAACGGGUGAGUAACACGUGAGUAACCUGCCCUCUUCUUUGGGAUAACGGUCGGAAACGGCUGCUAAUACCGGGUAUUCACUGUCCUUCGCAUGGGGGGUGGUGGAAAGGUUUUUUCUGGUGGGGGAUGGGCUCGCGGCCUAUCAGCUUGUUGGUGGGGUGAUGGCUUACCAAGGCUUUGACGGGUAACCGGCCUGAGAGGGUGACCGGUCACAUUGGGACUGAGAUACGGCCCAGACUCCUACGGGAGGCAGCAGUGGGGAAUAUUGCACAAUGGGCGAAAGCCUGAUGCAGCGACGCCGCGUGAGGGAUGAAGGCCUUCGGGUUGUAAACCUCUUUCGCUCAUGGUCAAGCCGCAACUUUGGGUUGUGGUGAGGGUAGUGGGUAAAGAAGCACCAGCUAACUACGUGCCAGCAGCCGCGGUAAUACGUAGGGUGCGAGCGUUGUCCGGAAUUAUUGGGCGUAAAGGGCUUGUAGGCGGUUUGUCGCGUCUGCCGUGAAAUCCUCUGGCUUAACUGGGGGCGUGCGGUGGGUACGGGCAGACUUGAGUGCGGUAGGGGAGACUGGAACUCCUGGUGUAGCGGUGGAAUGCGCAGAUAUCAGGAAGAACACCGGUGGCGAAGGCGGGUCUCUGGGCCGUUACUGACGCUGAGGAGCGAAAGCGUGGGGAGCGAACAGG